AUGACCAAGCUAGUGGGACUGGAUUUCUCCAUCCAGUACAAGAGGGGUGUGGAAAAUACAGCUGCAGAUGCUUUGUCUAGAGUGGCACACCUGUUUUCAGUACAAGCAGCACUGAAGGAACAGUUAGCCAGAGCGCAGAGCAAAUACAAACAGUAUGCGGAUCGUAAGCGGACUGACAGACAGUUUACUGAAGGAGAGAUGGUCUAUUUGCGGCUGCAACCGUAUGCCCAAUCGUCAGUGAUCAAUCGUCCUUGUCCUAAACUGGCCAUGAAAUACUUUGGUCCCUUCAAGAUUCUCACAAAGAUCGGACAGGCAGCUUACUGGCUGGAGUUGCCGCGUGGAAGUAUGGUUCACCCGGUCUUCCACGUCUCUCAAUUGAAGGAGCACAUCUCUGACCACACUCCAGUUUCCAGUACAUUGCCAGCACCACUGGACUUGUCUGAUCCAGCCAUGCAACCGGAGGAGAUCAUUGAUAGUCGCUUGGUCAAGAAAGGGAAUGCCGCUCAUCAGCAGGUACUGGUUAAGUGGACAAAGUUUCCUGCAACGGAGGCUACAUGGGAAGACUACCAAGUGCUCUGCAACCGCUACCCGACUGCACCAGCAUGGGGACAAGCUGGCUCUCCAGGGAGGGUACUGUCAGUACUAGCGCACUUACAACAGUCAUCAAGUAGAGGACAAGGAAGAUCAACACCAAGAAGAAAGCAGAGGAACUGA
rnacentral:rRNA from 1 species